CUUCCAUCUCCCCAGCCACCUGAGAAGGGAGAUGGGGUAGCUUUUCUCUCUCACUCUCUCUCCCCCAACCCCUCCUUUUCCCACCAGCAGGUGAAUGAGCUUCCUGCCCAUAGGAGAAAGGGUAAAAUCAAAAGGUGGUGCCCUUGUCUCCAAAUCUCAAGGUCCUCUGGAUGGCAGCUUACAGCAUGGCCCUCUCCCAAGAAAUCAUCCAAAAAUUACCUCAGCCAUUCUACAGUCCCCAAGCUGACCAGGGGAGGGAGGACCAAGAAUCUUGAAACCUAAAUACUACAUUUGAUGGUCUCCUUCAGACUUAUUUUGGGAUCUGAUAUCUCUUUAAUAAAA
rnacentral:lncRNA from 1 species